rnacentral:rRNA from 1 species
ACUCCUACGGGAGGCAGCAGUGGGGAAUCUUGCGCAAUGGACGAAAGUCUGACGCAGCGACGCCGCGUGGGUGACGAAGGCCUUCGGGUUGUAAAGCCCCUGUGGGGCGAGACGAACAGCUUCUGGUCGAACAGGCCAGGGGUUUGACGGUACCGUAAGAAGAAGCACCGGCUAACUACGUGCCAGCAGCCGCGGUAAU